CCUAGGAUUGUUAUAAAGAACACACGACCUGUGGUAUGUAAAGCACUUGUCAGGCACCUUAGCUGACACAAAGUAACCAUCGAUGUCAAUUACACCCACCGUACCUUCUGACCUCCUGUAAUGCAGUUCCUGUUUGUAUCUCCCCCACAACGCCACCAUCUGUCAGAGAGCAGAAUCAUACUUUCCCUCCACACCAGCCACUACAGCUCCUGGUAGGGUUUCUGUUGAUUUAGACGCCACUAGAAUGCUGAGCCUUUCACCCCUGGUCACCCCUGCACUCGGGGCUCCUGUGCUGAAAGGCUGGGAGACACACAGUUAUUCCCUAUUGUAGUCUGAGCCUGAUGUGAUCAGAAGACAUGAUUUUGUUGUUGUUGUUGCUGCUGCUGCUGCUGCUGUUGUUGUUAAAAGGGAAGAAAGAAAUCCCCACUGUACCAAUGGGAGAUGAAAAGCUCAGCAAGGUAAUUUUCAGCCUUAAUCAAGCGCACCCAUUGUUUCCUUAACGUGAGAUAGAGUGUCUUCCUAAGAUCUGUGUGUCAGCUUUCAGCAGACAAGGGGAGAGAGAGAGAGAGAGAGAGAGAGAGAGAGAGAGAGAGACUGACUUUCCAUAUAGCAACUUACUCAGGCAUACAUGAUAAUGCCCCAUUUUACAAUUUAAAGUGACGAUUGGCUUGGAUUUUCAGUUUCUAGAUAGCAGGUAUUUCCAAUCUCCCUGUUCUUGGAAUACAAAUCACUCCAGUAUGAAGGGAUCUGAGGGCCAGCCUCAGAAGAUGGAUAGAGGAAUAGAGACGGAGGAGAUGGUGUCCCAGAGAGGAGGAGGGACAGGAAAGUGUCUGUGAAGGAGGAUGCUCAUGAGAACUGAACUGGAGAUGGCUGGUGCACCAAGGCAGUCUCCACAGCUGGAGUGCUGCUGGAUCUGGCCAUCCUCCCUUAUCCCUGCAGGACACCGAGAGGGGACAGAUGCACCGGAGGGAAGAUGGAGGUGAGGCGUGCAAAUGAAGACAGGGAGAUGGAGUGAGCAUCUGUAGACUGCAUAGGAAGAGAUUCCUGGCACUGGAAGGGGUUGUCUCCAGGGCAGUUGAACCAAGUGCAGGCAAGAGUACUAUGAGCUCUGGUAAAUUAGUCCCCGGUGAAGAGCAGCAGUAGACUGCUGCCUUCCAUCGAAGGCCAACCCUGGAGAGUCCAAUGAGCAGACAACCUUCCUUUCAGCUUUCUAAAGGGUUCUAUCUUUAGAUAUGAAUGGACAGCCAAGGAUGCCUGGAGUUUUAGGAAAGCAUGCAAGAUUAAAGUAAGAUGAGCAAAGAAUUGAGAAGACAAAAGGAAUCCAUGCAAUGAGACAUAGUGCAGAAAGAAAAGAAGAAAUUUUCCAUGAUGUCACAAUCAGUUUCAGAAAGUCUGAAGUCUUACUCUCAGUCACUCCAGAGCCUCCUAGCCGGCCAACGAGCUGCGUGUAGCCACACAUGGGACACGGACACCACUCCCUCUGGGGCCCAGGAAAUAUCUCAGAGCAGCAGAGUAGUAAAAGAUAGGGAAGGAAGGAGGAUUAGGGAUAUGUAACAAAAAAAGAUAUUUUCUGGAUAUGACACGGCUAUUCUACUCAUGAAUCUAAUGUAGCUCUGGUGACCAGCAAGACCCAUACAAGCUUGGGCCCAUCAAGACUUCGCCGUGGAUCCCUGAGGGACUCUUAGCAGCUAAUGGUUGUUGGAGGAGGAUCUGUCCUUUUCUUCAGUGUUUUAGCUCGUGCUAUAGUGAGCAUCUUCUCUCCCAUGCUCAUGCAGGUGACUUAAUUAAGUGUAUCACACACAUGGAGAGAAGACGUGAAAGCAGGAGGGAGACUAGGGAAAGGGGAAGAGUUUCAGCAGAGAAGAAGGGGAGACACGAGAAGCAAUGGCAGGAGAAAUGACAGAAUGACAGAAAUCCGUUAGGUACAUGUAUGAAACUGUCAAAAAAAAUAAAUAACUGCUCUCCUUAGCGUGCUUGGAAAUUGGACACACUCGCGACACUGCUCUCCCCUCCUCGUGGAAAGGGACCACGGUGACCUCUUUACUAGAGGAGAAAAAGUUAGUUUAAUAAUAAUGGAUUUAAAAUAACGUCUGUGAAAGACCAACAUGGCAGUGCUAAGAAUAUAGAUUGUAAAAUAAGAGAUUUCUCUUACUCUUAAAUAGUGCUGAAGCCUCAUAUGAGCUCGGUGGGACACUGGGCACAAAGCCUGUGUGAACCAGGUCCAGAACACAUAACUCCAACGCCAGCAUGGAGAGCAGAGAUGGGCAUGGAGUGCCAUCCUUGUCCUAGGAGCUAUUGACAGUGCUAGCUCCAGGAAAAGAAAGGUCAUUUUUCUCUAAGAAAGUAGCCCUGGUAAGUCAACCAUGCUCCAGUGGAAGGCCACACAUCUAAGGGUAUUUGGGCAGCACAAACUGGCCUUAAUUGGGGGAGAAAAAAAAAAGACAAGCUGGGGGGGGGGGCAAUCUGGGAAGAGCAGAAGAGGGUGAAUAUGAUCAAACAUCUGCAUUAAAUUCUCAUGAUUUUUUUUAACUUAAAUAAUGCUAACACUUAAAUACAGGAAACUGUAAAGGGCAGGCAUGAGAAGCCACACAGAGCAACACGUCAAAGAGAUGGAAAACAGGACAGAAAACUUGAGAAAAUGAGGUUUUGCCUGACCAGCCAGAGUUCCAGAAAGAGGACAGAGAGAGCAUUUGUUAGCAUUUCUUCUAGGCUCUGCCCCACAGUUACCUGACAACAGCCAGAUGUGCCUGACUCACUUGCCCCCUCCUCAAUCUCUUGCUCUCUUCUCUUCUGUAGCUCUUGCUCCCUCCCUACCUUCUUCCCCCUCUCUCCCAUUCCCCUCCCCCUCUCUCUCCACGUGUUCAUGGCUGGCCUCUACUCCUCUACUCUCCCCCACCUGCUCUCCCCUGUCUCUACUACCUCCUAUCCCCUCAGCUCCCCUCCUCUUAGCCUAAAUAAACUCUAUUCCAUACUCUAUCCAUCCCAUGGCUGGUACCUGGUGGGGGUGGGGAUGCCUCAGCAUGGGCCUGUAGAGGAACCAUUCCCCCCACACCAUACUGUGCGUCCACCAAACAUAUCCCUGGCUUCUUUUUCUUUUUUAUAAAACACAACUGUACUAGCAACAGAAUUCUGAGAGAAACAAACCAAGGAAAUUUACAGAAACUAGAAGACGUUGGGUUUCGGGGGGUGGGGUAGGGGGUGAGAAGUGAUAAAAAAAAAAAGUUAAUGAAGAACUAACCCAUGCUGAGAUAACAUUAUAAAUAUAUGAAUAUCAGAGAUACAAAGAACUUAAAAUUUGUGGAUUUGAAAACCAAGAACUGGGAAUAUUCUUUCACAUUCUGAAAAACCACAUCACAAGUUAGAAGUCACCAUAGCAGCCUCAGAAUCCAAGAGAAAUGUGUUUACAAUGGAGGAUUCUGGCUGUAGCCCAAUUAUCAAUCAAGUAGAAAGAUUAUAAGCAAGUAUGUAAAACCUCAGAAAACUGAUGUCUCCUGCCGGUUCAGCACCGUGAAUAAGCCAGCCAGGAAAGAAAGCAACACAAGACCCUGCACAGAGAGACUGAAGUGUAACAAUGUAGCGAGCAGAGGCCAGCUCUCCAUCAGCCCAGAGUGAGUCAGCACAACCAAGGCUACAGAUGCCUCAGAGGGAAACUGGAUAGUACAGGACUCCGAGGGCUUAACUAUAAGAACCAUGUCAAGGGACAUUUUCCAAACGGAAGGUUUGGGCAGAGCUGAGCUGGACAUGUGAAAAGAAUAGAAGACCUCAAAUCACUGAGUGGGAAGCUGCUUGUUCCAGAAAGAAAAACACGCCUAAGAGGAAGAGCCGUCUCCAGAAUUCAGAAGCCCACAAGCCACCUCCCCUUGCCCUCGGAGGGCAUGAUAGCAUCCCCACUGGUACAGAGAGACAGGGCUCCUCCGAGGCGCCCAUCAAAUCCCAGAGCCCUGGAUGCAGUCAAGUGGAUGAAAUCUCACCAUGCGUCUCAUGCAUCUCGGCUCCUGCUUUGCCCUGUGCCCUCACUUCCUUCCAGGUGCUUCUCCUACUGAAUCUUUCAACGCCCUGAGGGGGCCUAGAUCUCUGGUCAUUCCAUUUGGUCUCCACUCAGAAACUAGGUCAUAGGUCAUUGGCUUCAGGUGCAGACCAUGAAACUAGGCUGUAGGUCAUCUGCUCCAGCAGCAGACCCCAAAGUGCAGGAACAAGACAAUAAAAUCCCCCACCCCCACCUCCACCCCCACCCUGCCUCGAGGAAGAGUGUGAAGAAUCUGUGCUGAGCAGCCCUUCCUGUGGUUAAUGUUCAUGGUGCAGGGAUGCAGUCAAUCUGGGGCAUGCCAUCACCACCAAUGAGAUUUUAAAUUAGCUAACCCUUACACAGUAGCCAAUCAAAAUUGUACUACGGUCAGGGCUUUGGCCCCCGUCAAUCACAUUAAGAUUACCUGACCCUUCUAGAAAGUUCCUCCAGUUCAAUAAGAAGGCCUGUGCACCUUUGUCUGUGGUCAUCGCCAUUUUGAUGCAGCGGUGACCCCCAGCAUGCUGGCUGUUUCUGCAGAAUAAGCACUCUUUGUUCUUGCAUAUUAUUUGAGUCUGGGGGUCUUCCUUCAGGUAUUCCUGAACCCUAAUAAUCCCAUUUCUGAGGAAUUCAAUGUCAGGUAAGACCCACAUUUUAUGAUUCCAAGUCCAGUGGCAACUUCAUUACAGAAUUCUACCUGGCCACAGAAAUGUAGACAACACUUGAUUUCAGUCCUGCUUCCCCCCAACCCCCCCCCCACCCCUGAACUCAUUGUUGAAAUAUAAUUUUCACUGUGGUAACAUUAAGAGACAGGGCCUUUGGGGGGUGACUAAGUCGUGAGGACUUCGCACAUGAUGGAUGAAUGCCAUUACUGGGCAGUUGUCACAAGGGUGGGUGGGCUCUGGUCUGAGAAUGAGUGUGACCCAGUGUCCUCUGCCUCAGGCAUGCUCACUUGCCCUUCUGCCAUGUUGUGAGAAGAUUGAAGUCUCGAAAGAAGCUAGCAUCACACUUGGACUUCCCAGCCUCCAAAACCAUUAGCCAAGCUAGUGUUUAUAACUUCCCUAAGCAGCGGUAUUCUGUUAGAAGAGCAGUAAGGAGACAAAUACAAACCCCUUACCUGUCAUGCAGCUAUGCGAUCCAGGGGAGACAAUUAUCCUGACACAGAAAAAUCACAUAAGCCCAUUACCCACCCUAUCUAAAUAUGUCUGCCUCAAAUAAGGACAGAGGUGUUGUGCAAUUAUGUAUAAAUAUUUUAAGUAUUUCCAUUAAUAUAUUUUAGGACCAUUGCUUUGUACCACAUUAGAUUCCUAAUUAUGAAUGUUAUAAAUCCAAGGUAGACAAUAGAGAACUCCAUUGGUCCACAUAAUUAACAUGUCCUGUUUUAAAGCAGGAUAUAAAGUAAUUCGUCAGCUUAUUGAUAUCCUGGUGAUAUCAUUACAAACUGGUUACUAUCACUUCCUCUUCCUUGAGGUCUAAAAUGUAGUAAAUUUUUCUAAACUUUGACUUUACACACUUGAACUUGCUAAAAUUUUUCACAAAGAGACCGAUUCAGUCUGCUGGAAAGUGUCCCAGGAAACAAUAUCUAUGCCAGGCCAGGUUUAAUUGAACAUCAGUAACUAUUUCAUAUAGCAGAAACAGAGACUUUAAUAACAUGGAACUGGUAGCCAUGGAAGAGCUGCUGAGAUGCCAAAGAAAAAGCAAAGCUGGCCAGAGGACAGCAUCAGUCGAACAUCAUCAAUAUCAUGGCUAAUACACCAGGACACCCAGGAAGGUAAAUGAGGGAGCUUAAGCUGGGUAUGAGAUGGCCAAGAUAGCCAGAAAAUAGGAAGAAUGGGUUGUAAAAAAAAUCAACAAAGUCAGUCUUAGCAGGCUCCAAGUGACACCCAUGAAGGUCUCCUGAUAAUGUAUCUGAGGCUCUGUUGCCUUUAUAAUUCUUUGAGCACAUCAGAUUACAGCAGAUUACACAUGUUCAUGAACACAGAGUCAGCACCCUCACAGGACCUGAUGUCAUUGUUAUAUCACUUGCACAAUGGCUCCAACAUCUCUCCCCUUUUAUGGGCGAUCUUGAGAGGAUAUGCCCUCAAAGGAAGAACCAGUCAGUCUUCAGCCCAGAGGGAUGAGGAGAAAUUUCCCUAUCUGCCAGCAUUCCAGUACUUCAAGGAUCUCCUACUGCUAGAAACCAACAGGCAGGGAGGAGCCUUGGGGAUUGAUCCACCCUGCAAAGUUCCAUCCCCACCGCUACAGGGGGCACAGCAGAAAGAAGCAAGGGAGGUUCCAGCAAGCCAACAGCAUCAGCAGGGGCAACACAUAUAGCUGCAACCAAAAUCUUCAGAGACAAAGAUUCCCCUCCUGGGAAACAUCAUGCAGAGGUCAAUGCCCCAAACCUUAACCACUGAGAACAAAACGAAGAGGAAGGCAGCCUUUGCUUUUUCAGGGAGUAAAAAUUAUAGAUCAAAACCAUGGGAAAGCCUUUGCACCAGGCUUGCCCGAGUGCUCACACAUUCAUACAUCCUAUCAUUACCGUUGGCUUUAGGGACGGUGUGGGCAGCUUUGCCUGAAGGGAUGCAGGCAUUUCCUUCCGCAGGUUGCUGCUGGUGGUGUUUGUUGUCCCCUCCCGACUCCGGAGCAUUUCUGUAAAAUGUAAAUUCUGCCGUCCAGCUUCCGGGGGAGGCUGAAUUAUAGAUUACUAAAUUUGAAAAGAAAAAUAUUUUUACAUUUUGGGGGUGAGAACUACAACGGGAGCACUAGACGCUAUAAUUAAUGCUUGCAGUGACGCUCCUUGCUAAAACAAGCUGGACCCACACAUAAAUCUCUGAACUGAAAAAUUAAGCUUGUAGAGAAGCCUAUUGUGCAAACUGAACACACACUCAUUAGUGUAGUAAGUCCAAUAAUUUGUGUAAGUUAUUAGUUUUUUUACAGUUUGCUUCAAAGAUAAUAUAAUCCGAAACUGAUGUAUAAUUAGAAACUGUGAAAUGUAUUGUCAGGGUUGGCAAAGAGCAGAAAAGUUAGAGAAAUAUUUUUUUUAACUCCUGGUGCUCCUGGCAUAUUUUGCUCUAGUUACAAAUCAUUUAUUUAGAGGCCCAAAUGGGCUGAAUCUUGUACUGAACAAUGGACGAUCUCAAUUAGGUGGUAAGCCUGGCAUCAGGACCAUGGAUCUCAGUCUGGGAGCCCAGGGAAAGAGAAAGAGAAAUAGUGGAUUUACUACCCUCACCCUUCAGUGACAUGGGAAUCUGGAUCCAAGGAAAGCCACAUCAGCUUAGAAUGCUACAUGCUGUAACCCACUCUGUGGCUUCCCAAUAGGGAUUUCUGGCCCCAACUAGGACAUUUCACAGGCUCCACAAACGGCCUUAGAGAAGCAGGUCCAUGCAGAGUGAGAAUUGAAGAUCUUUGGAGAACAUUUCUCCCCUGCCUAACUUCAGUUCUAUGGCAUUACCCUUAAGGUUUGAGUCAAGUUAAAUGAGCCUUCUGAUUGCAGGAUGCAAUCCCAAAAUGGGUUCUCCGAGACCCAGAACUUAUGUCACGUGAUUCAGAGUCAAAUAACCCUACAUUGUCCUGCUAUGUGGUAUCUGUGUCUGCAUGUUGUUUUCGGCGUUCAGGGGGGACGGUAACCAAAUGAACAGCGUCAGUUCUUAUAGUUCCCAAUUCUCUAACACCCAGGCUUCCCACCAAGCACCUCGUCCUACCAAGCACUUCAUCCAUGCUCAGUGGGUAGCUUUACACAAUUAGCUUUAAUUUAAAAGUAAAAUGCAAGUUAUAAUCAAACUUGCAGAUUAUGUCUGGGAACAUGCUUUGUCUUGUACACACACCCAGUUCUCCUUACAUCUCCUGAGAUCUGUGCCCUCCUGGAAGCCCUUCACCUUAUCCUAUGAGCUCUCUCCCACUUCCUCUCCCCCUCCCCCAUGCAUGCCUGUGGGGUUCUGUGUUUGUACACGCGUGUGGGUACCAAGCACAGAUCCUUACUCCUUAACACUUGUUAAAUGAGGAUAAAGCCGAGUCACUGUGUGCGUGAAUGAAAACACACAUAUAAAAUGCAACAGCAAGGAAUUGGGGCCUAAAGCACCAUUGAAAUCUCUUAUUUAUUUUUUAAUUUUGAAAAAGUCAAAGCCAGCAACUGGGAGACUGGAGGUCACUUUAGAAUGAAGGAAAAACCUAUUACUACUGUCAGAAUUUGAAAGCUGGCAUCUUAGGGUAGGGAGCCACACUUGUGUAAGAACAUGGAAAAAAGAAAGAAAGAAAAGCAAAACAGAAGUGAAGUGAAGUCACAGGCUGCCAUCUGCAAGGAGACUUCAACCACGAGAGAUGCUCACUGCUCAGCAUGAAAGGCGAGCCAAAGCUGCCAGUGGGAAGGAGCAGAGGAGAGAGAACAGAGAACAGAGGACCUGUGAGUGUCUAAGCUAAGCUCCACUUUAUGACCACAAUGUUCAUCUGCGAGCUUUAACUACAGCAAAUUAUCCAGGAAGGGAGGAGCAUAGACUUUUUAUAAAGAUUACACUUGGAGACUUUGGAAUCUACCAAGACUGCUCGCUAUUGUUACCACAGUAGUAACAUCGUAACCAUAACAACACAGACUUACCAUUUUGUAACCUUAGAGGUCAGAGUCUUAGUAAAGGCUGUGUUUGUUCAGAGUUUGGGGAUAAACUCUUGCCUUUUCCAGCUCCCAGAUAGUGUUUACUAAUUCAACUCAUGGCCUGUGUCCCUCCAACCUCUGUCUCUGUGGUCACAUCUCCUUCCCUGACCUCGGCUCUCCCCCGUAUCUUAUGGAGACCAUUUGCCUUUGGCCACGUGAACAAUCCUGUACCAUCUUUUCACCUCGAGAUCCACAAUUUAAUCCUGUCUGGAAAGAAAGCUGUUUGCUCUCCCAGGCUUUGGACAAGCCAUUGUUCCAUUUACCACUGUCACCAUUUAGGGAAGUCACACACUUAUUGUAAUACUCUUCUCUCGUUGGUGUCUUGCUGUGUCCUCCAGAGCCCCAUUGUCAGACAUUCAAUUUAAAAAGGUACAGAUUUAUGAUCUCUUUGUAUGUCUAUACAGCCUUGCUGUUCCUAUUAUUUAGUUUAUUUAUUUUCCUUGUAUUUCUUCUGUGACACUGGAAGACUUUUUGCAUUAUAUGUGCAUAGUUGAUAUCCAGGCACGUGGUAAAGGGUUCCUCUUUACAAAAUAUUAGAGCAUGAUGUGGUGGGUACUUAGGACAUAUAAGUUAGCCUCAGCUACACAGGAGUUCAAGGCUAGCCUGAACUAUUUUCAAAGUGCAAUAAUUAUUUUUAUUGAGUUGACUGUGCUUGGAAAACCUACCACGCCAGAUAAAUCUGGUUUUAGAAACCGUAGCAAGUUGGCUUUCUAUAAAAUCCACCAAUAAAGCAGGCAGACGUGCUUGCAGUGUGCUGCUAACAUAUAUGAACCCCCUUUCCUGCCCUGCCCUUCCUGCCUUUCAGCUCCUUACUGUCAGACUCCUACCCUGCAGGCAUGGAGGGAGGGAAGGAUAAUGAAGCCUUGGACAGUCAGCCCAGGAAUCCCAGACAACAGAACUCUUUACAGUUUCAUGAAGCAUCGAACAAGUGCUGUGGUCCACACUGUCAGAAGCUCCGCAUUAAAGUGUAAUGAUGGCUGCAGAGGCGGAGUGGCCAGGAAGAGCAGGAAGGCCGCGAGUGAAGGGAAAGGAAAACAUAUCAACUGAGACUGGGAAGAGAGAGUCAGAAGGAGCCCCACUGGACUUGCCUGGGUUGCAGUAAACACCUUGGGCUGUCUCUAUGAAGAUAAAGCUGUCAAUUAAAACUAACUGUAAAUUCUGUUAAAAGGUUCCGGUGUUUAGGUAAGAGUAGGGGCGCACACAGAUCGAGGAAGCUUGAAGAGCCCUGGAGCCACCACCGGACGUAUUCUUUUCAAUCCAGCGCCCCGCAGGUGCAGGCUUGCCCUUGCUCCCACUCUUGCGCGCUCUCUCUCUCUCUCUCUCUCUCUCUCUCUCUCUCUCUCUCUCUCCUGCUGAAGUGAGCUUGCUCUCACUGAUCUUGCCUCAUUUGUUCGAUGUCUUCAGGAGUCAGUCUCUGGGUAUCACUGAAUUCGAUUCUCACUCCCUGCCUUUCCUUCCAUGCUUCACCCCCACCCUGUGACAUUGGAUCGGACAAAAGUAUCUCAUAUGAGAAAACCAACAGGCAACACUUCCUUCCCACUAACGACUCGAGACUCCCAAGUCAUUCUCUGACUAUGUCUGCUCUAAAGUCUCGAACUACUCUUAAUCCAGUGAGAGCUGCCAGGCUCCGGGUCUCCCCACCAGCAGGGUUAGAGGCUACAGUUCCAAGCAUGUGAGGCUACCUGUUCCGGGCUCUUUGUGCCCCUGACUGUAACAUUAGUCUAGUUAUUUAGGAGGCACCUGUAAGCCUCAGUUUUCUUUGUUAUUAGUUAGCCAAAUAAAAAGCCACUUAGAGAAAACUGUGCAUAAAAUACAUCCAAGCUCGGACUUAAGAAGAGCCUGGCUCAAGGUCGAGAGAACUGAAGCUUGCAGUUGGCAUUCUCUUCAGUGAAUAGAGACUGCAGGACACUUAGCUUUACAGAUCCUCUCUGGCGUUUCCCAACGUGACCUCUGCUAGUCAGUCCCUACCUCCUACUAGAUAGACGUUCAUAGGCUCUCUCACAGAGUGGCUGCCAUUCUAAAACACUGACUCAAAACCUGGUAGCUGGAAAAGCAUGCCAGAGAGCAAGCUGGGAGAAUUUUGGGGAAACUCAAGAGAACUGCAGAGGACCACAGUGACCACGUUUAAUGUUUAACAGGGAGAGAUGUCCUCGGAGACAUCGUCUUUCCUUUUCCAGAAACAUAAAGUGAACACUUGAGCAGUAUAGCUGGUACUCUGUCUUCCCAUGAGUCUCGGGGGAAUACAACCUCUCAUUAAUAAGUCAUGCUCUGAAAACUUUCAGCCCACGGCAGCCUUGAAGACGGCUCUUCUGAGCCCAAAAUGUGAGGCUGAAACCUGAGUGACUCUGAGCAUUCUAUUGGGGGGGAUGUGUCAGGGUGCUAGGGUCCUUAAAUACUAAGGGGGAGGGGAUGGAGAUGGUGGAGGGGAGCCCUGAUUAGAACUACCAGGGACUGAGGAAAAAGAAGUGUUUACUCACAAGGCAGAAAGGAAAAUCACAAAAUGGAAGGUCAGCUGACUCCAAUACAACCAGCAAACGCUACCAUUUUGUAGACCCAAUGUUAUAUCCCAUAAAUAUA